GAUGAACGCUGGCGGCGUGCUUAACACAUGCAAGUCGAACGAUGAAGCCCAGCUUGCUGGGUGGAUUAGUGGCGAACGGGUGAGUAACACGUGAGCAACCUGCCCCUGACUCUGGGAUAAGCGCUGGAAACGGCGUCUAAUACUGGAUACGAACAAGAAUCGCAUGGUUACUUGUUGGAAAGAUUUAUUGGUUGGGGAUG
rnacentral:rRNA from 1 species